GUGUUGGGCUGGGCAGUAGCAGUGUGUUGGGCUGGGCAGUAGCAGUGUGUUGGGCUGGGCAGUACAGUAGCAGUGUGUUGGGCUGGGCAGUACAGUAGCAGUGUGUUGGGCUGGGCAGUACAGUAGCAGUGUGUUGGGCUGGGCAGUACAGUAGCAGUGUGUUGGGCUGGGCAGUACAGUAGCAGUGUGUUGGGCUGGGCAGUAGCAGUGUACAGUAGCAGUGUGUUGGGCUGGGCAGUACAGUAGCAGUGUGUUGGGCUGGGCAGUAGCAUAGCAGUGUGUUGGGCUGGGCAGUAGCAGUGUGUUGGGCUGGGCAGUACAGUAGCAGCAGCAGUAUGUUGGGCUGGGCAGUACAGUAGCAGUGUGUUGGGCUGGGCAGUACAGUAGCAGUGUGUUGGGCUGGGCAGUAGCAGUGUGUUGGGCAGUACAGUAGCAGUGUGUUGGGCUGGGCUGUACAGUAGCAGUGUGUUGGGCAGUACAGUAGCAGUGUGUUGGGCUGGGCAGUACAGCAGUGUGUUGGGCUGGGCAGUACAGUAGCAGUGUGUUGGGCUGGGCAGUACAGUAGCAGUGUGUUGGGCUGGGCAGUACAGUAGCAGUGUGUUGGGCUGGGCAGUACAGUAGCAGUGUGUUGGGCUGGGCAGUAGCAGCAGUGUGUUGGGCUGGGCAGUAGCAGUGUGUUGGGCUGGGCAGUACAGUAGCAGUGUGUUGGGCUGGGCAGUACAGUAGCAGUGUGUUGGGCUGGGCAGUACAGUAGCAGUGUGUUGGGCUGGCAGUACAGUAGCAGUGUGUUGGGCUGGGCUGUACAGUAGCAGUGUGUUGGGCUGUACAGUAGCAGUGUGUUGGGCUGGGCAGUACAGUAGCAGUGUGUUGGGCUGGGCAGUACAGUAGCAGUGUGUUGGGCUGGGGUACAGUAGCAGUGUGUUGGGCAGUACAGUAGCAGUGUGUUGGGCUGGGCAGUAGCAGUGUGUUGGGCUGGGCAGUACAGUAGCAGUGUGUUGGGCUGGGCAGUAGCAGUGUGUUGGGCUGGGCUGUACAGUAGCAGUGUGUUGGGCUGGGCAGUAGCAGUGUGUUGGGCUGGGCUGUACAGUAGCAGUGUGUUGGGCUGGGCUGGGCAGUAGCAGUGUGUUGGGCUGGGCUGUACAGUAGCAGUGUGUUGGGCUGGGCAGUACAGUAGCAGUGUGUUGGGCUGGGCUGUACAGUAGCAGUGUUGGGCUGGGCUGGGCAGUAGCAGUGUGUUGGGCUGGGCAGGCAUACAGCAGUGUGUUGGGCUGGGCAGUAGCAGUGUGUUGGGCUGGGCAGUAGCAGUGUGUUGGGCUGGCAGUACAGUAGCAGUGUGUUGGGCUGGGCAGUACAGUAGCAGUGUGUUGGGCUGGGCAGUAGCAGUGUGUUGGGCUGCUGUACAGUAGCAGUGUGUUGGGCUGGGCAGUAGCAGUGUGUUGGGCUGGGCAGUAGCAGUGUGUUGGGCUGGGCUGGGCAGUAGCAGUGUGUUGGGCUGGGCUGGGCAGUAGCAGUGUGUUGGGCUGGGCAGUACAGUAGCAGUGUGUUGGGCUGGGCUGUAGCAGUGUGUUGGGCUGGGCAGUACAGUAGCAGUGUGUUGGGCUGGGCAGUACAGUAGCAGGAACUGGCUGUACUGGCUGAGCAGUGGUGACAUUCUGGGUGUUGAUCACCUACUGAGUAGUGAUCACGUCAGCCUGGGUAACCAUGACAUCAUUCUGGGUAACCAGGACAUCAUUCUGGGUAACCAGGACAUCAUUCUGGGUAACCAUGACAUCAUUCCGGGCCGGCGAUGACAUCAACACUUGUCUCCCAGUUUGAGAAAGCGCUGUGAUUUUU
ensembl:lncRNA